ACAGAAUAUCUUACUGUCAAACUGAGUAGUAGAACUUUAGAAGUGAUUCAGCUCCUUACCAUAGACCCAAAAUCAAAUGCUUUACUCAGUUCCAAAACCUCGGGGAAACUCUAUCGAAUGAAAACCUAGAACAUUAUAUCAUAUAAGAGGUUAUCUACUUCGAAGAUCUAGUGCUUCAGAGUGUAAAUGAAAUGGAGAAAGAAGCACAUCUGCGUAAGAAGGCUGCCAAUGUCAAGUGCCAGAGGUGUUCAACUUCAAUUGCCACCGAUGCCAACUCAAUCGGCACAUGAACAAAGCCUAUAGGAUCAU